rnacentral:rRNA from 1 species
GACGAACGCUGGCGGUGUGCUUAACACAUGCAAGUCGACCGGAAAGGCCCUGCUUUUGUGGGGUGCUCGAGUGGCGAACGGGUGAGUAACACGUGAGUAACCUGCACUUGACUUUGGGAUAACUUCAGGAAACUGGGGCUAAUACCGGAUAGGAGCUCCUGCUGCAUGGUGGGGGUUGGAAAGUUUCGGCGGUUGGGGAUGGACUAGCGGCUUAUCAGCUUGUUGGUGGGGUAGUGGCUUACCAAGGCUUUGAAGGGUAGCCGGCCUGAGAGGGUGACCGGCCACGUUGGGACUGAGAUGCGGCCCAGACUCCUACGGGACGCAGCGGUGGGGAAGAUUGCACAAUGGGCGGGAGCCUGAUGCGGCAACGCCGCGUGCGGGAUGACGUGAUUCGGGUUGUAAACCGCUUUCGCCUGUGACGAAGCGUGAGUGACGGUAAUGGGUAAAGAAGCACCGGCUAACUACGUG